rnacentral:lncRNA from 1 species
GCAUCUGUUUGGCCAGACAGAUGUUUGGUGUUCAAGAUUCUCUAUCUUUGGGAGGAAUCUGGUUCAGUCUUCUAUUUGUUUCUUGAUCACUUGAUCAUGUUAUGGCUUUUGGAUAUCAUCCGUUUUUUGUAAGUCCAACAAUAUUUAUAUUAAUUCUGUGCAUUCAAAUUUAGUUAUUAUUAUUCGAGUCCAUAAAGUCUAGCAAAGUUUGGGUAGAUGCAUGGGUUUGAAUUUGGUAACCGUUAGAUAUCGUCUUAUCGUGUAAGGGUAAAAUUGUAUGAAACUAACGUUGGUGAUUAUCCGGUAAAUUUUUAUUAACAGGAAUUAUUCCAAUAUACCUGGAACAUUAAACCAAUUGCAUUAGUAUGUGCUUUCGUGUGGAAAAUUGAUAAAACCAUAAUACAUAUAGAAUAAUAUCGUAUUUUCCGAUUUUCUCGCGUAUUUGUUAAUUUUGUCACAAUUUAACACCACUACUUAGCAUUUUUUCACCAAACUAUGAGUAAUUGAGCACUUAACUAUUGUCGAGUAACAUUUAAGCCCUAACUAGUGUGUAAUUGGAUGAAACUAGAUGUAAAGUAACAAUUACAUGCAAACCAAACUAAACAAAAAUCUUUAGGAGACAAGGUUUAUUAAACAAGUAACACUUUUCACAACCCCCUGCCUCUUUUUCGGCCUAAACCCAACCCCAAGACACCCUCAAAGUUUGUUUAACUUAUUUGACUAGCCAUAAUGUGCAUGCUUAGUCUUGUAACUUAGCACUUCUAAUCACAUCCUCAUAUGGUGUGCUCUAUGUUCAAGAUUUCGCUUUUACAAU